UACAGAGGUCUCAAGCGUUGUUCGGAUUCAUUGGGCGUAAAGGGUGCGUAGGUGGCGCCGUAAGUCAGGUGUGAAAUUUCGGAGCUUAACUCCGAAACUGCAUUUGAUACUGCGGUGCUUGAGGACUGGAGAGGAGACUGGAAUUCACGGUGUAGCAGUGAAAUGCGUAGAUAUCGUGAGGAAGACCAGUGGCGAAGGCGGGUCUCUGGACAGUUCCUGACACUGAGACACGAAGGCCAGGGGAGCAAACGGG
rnacentral:rRNA from 1 species